UGAACCAUGCGAUCGCAGAGCUUAAAGCCAUGCGGCCGCAUGGCAAAAAUAAGGCAUGGGUUUUUAAGCUCUGCGGUCGCAUGGCAAA
rnacentral:miRNA from 1 species